UAUUACCUAUAAAUCUAUCCAAGGGUUUCCUAAUAUUAUUUUUUAUCUUCUCCGCCGCAAAACCCUACUCCAGCAAAAAAAAAUACUGGCCUUCACUGUGAUUAACUCUUAUUCUUCAUCAUGUGUCUACUGUGGAUUAUCAAUAGUGUACCAAGGAAUGAAGCUGCUGCUGUGCAUAUCAGCUCUCAGAAGUAGGUAUUCCUCCUCUGUUGUACACUCAUUUGAUCUUCUCCACCAUUAACGAAUUGUUUUGUUGCUUUCGGGUGUGUUCUUCGGUGGAUGGGAUGAUGUUCUUGUUUUUGUGCUGUGUUGAGGGUUCCAGGUCCCUGAUUGGUAUUCCAGAUCUAAUUACUGCCAGGGUGGAGAUAGUGGGAUGCUCAGACCCGUAAGUAAUUGGACUGCAAUGCUCCUUUCAGGAGUUUCAGCUGCCAGUAUAUCACACGAUCCUCCACUUUUGCUGCGAGUCAUUUUUGAUGGCUGACAUAGAUUAGGCUAGGCAGCUUAUUUCUAAUUUUUGUUGCUUUUCUGAUUGUCUUGUGCAUGAUCAACUCUAUACACUGUAGCCUACUCAGCCUGUUUAUUCUCUUGUUGCUCUCACUCUUAUGUAUGGACAUUGUAACUUGUCAUUGUUAAGGAUUUUUCUGCCAA